rnacentral:rRNA from 1 species
CCUACGGGAGGCAGCAGUGAGGAAUAUUGGUCAAUGGACGAGAGCCUGAACCAGCCAAGUAGCGUGAAGGAUGACUGCCCUAUGGGUUGUAAACUUCUUUUAUAAGGGAAUAAAACAGGGCAUGCAUACCCUCUUGUAUGUACCAUAUGAAUAAGGAUCGACUAACUCCGUGCCAGCAGCCGCGGUAAUACGGAGGAUCCGAGCGUUAUCCGGAUUUAUUGGGUUUAAAGGGAGCGUAGAUGGAUUGUUAAGUCAGUUGUGAAAGUUUGCGGCUCAACCGUAAAAUUGCAAUUGAAACUGGCAGUCUUGAGUACAGUAGAGGUAGGCGGAAUUCGUGGUGUAGCGGUGAAAUGCUUAGAUAUCACGAAGAACUCCGAUUGCGAAGGCAGCUCACUGGACUGCAACUGACACUGAUGCUCGAAAGUGUGGGUAUCAAACAGGGUUAGAUACCCUAGUAGUC